rnacentral:rRNA from 1 species
AGUGAACGCUGGCGGUAGGCCUAACACAUGCAAGUCGAACGGCAGCACAGUAAGAGCUUGCUCUUACGGGUGGCGAGUGGCGGACGGGUGAGGAAUACAUCGGAAUCUACUUUUUCGUGGGGGAUAACGUAGGGAAACUUACGCUAAUACCGCAUACGACCUACGGGUGAAAGCAGGGGAUCUUCGGACCUUGCGCGAUUGAAUGAGCCGAUGUCGGAUUAGCUAGUUGGCGGGGUAAAGGCCCACCAAGGAGACGAUCCGUAGCUGGUCUGAGAGGAUGAUCAGCCAAACUGGAACUGAGACACGGUCCAGACUCCUACGGGAGGCAGCAGUGGGGAAUAUUGGACAAUGGGCGCAAGCCUGAUCCAGCCAUACCGCGUGGGUGAAGAAGGCCUUCGGGUUGUAAAGCCCUUUUGUUGGGAAAGAAAAGCAGCAGGUUAAUACCCCGCUGUUCUGACGGUACCCAAAGAAUAAGCACCGGCUAACUUCGUG